ensembl:lncRNA
UGAGGACUCACGUGACCAGUUACACAGCACUCAGGAUAUUCUGCAAAUGCACGUGCAUGUUACAUAAUUAAAAUGGCUCAGGUAAGCACGUGCUCAAAAGACCAACUUCAGCACGCGUCGCCAUUCUCAUGUACAACAACAGAGAAGUUUCUUCACCGGAAAAGCGACGAGGCGCGCCAUCUAACGGUGGAGGAGAGCCAUGACUGCCUUUAACACUCACCGUCCACUUUAUUAGGAACACCCGCACACAUGCACUUUCAUGCCAUUGUCCAAACACUUGCAUACAGACACAGGUCAAGAGCUUGUGUGAUCUGGACAGUUAAAGUUUGGGGAGAAAAACCAAAACAGGUGAUAUUUCCCCCCCCAGUCUUCAGCUGUAAAGUUUCUGUGAUUCUGUGCCUGAUAUGAGUGACACUCAAAGUGUCACUAAUGUGUUGUGAGUUUUGAAAUGCUUUUCUGCUCACCAUGGAUGUAAAGAGUGAUAAUCUCAGAAUGGGGAAAAGGGCUGGUUUGAGUAUUUCAGAAACUACAGAGCUUCUGGGAUCUUUCACACAUAACAGUCUCUAGAGUUUAUACAGAAUGAUGCGAAAAACAAUAAAACAUGCAGUAGCAACUGGAAAUGCAUUGUUGAGAAAAGUCAGACUGGUUUGAGAUGACAGGAAGGCUAUAGUAACCACGCUUUACAACCAUGAUGAGCAGAAAAGCAUUUCAGAACAUAACGCGCUGAACGUUGAAGUGGAUGGACGACAACAACAGAAGACCACAUCAAGUGACUCAACAGUAAAGGCUCUGAGUUACUGAUCAGAAGAUUGGGGAUUCAAGCCACAGGACUGCCAAGCUGACAAUGUUCGGCCCUUAGGGCCUUAACGCUCUCUGCUCCAGAGGUGUCAUAUCAUGGAAGACCCUGUGCUCUGACCCCUGCUUUCCAACCAGCUGGGAUAUGCAAAGAAAAGAAUUUCACUGUGAUGUAUAUGUGAUAUAUAACAGUUUCUUCUUCAGGUUCAACCCCUGUUAGCUAAGAACAGUAUCAGGAUCACCAAAACUGGACAGUUUGGGAAAAAAUUUGACCAGGCACAAUUUCUGAAAUGCUCAAACCAGCAUGUCUGGCACCAACAAGCAGGCCAUUUUG